AAAGGGAAAUGCUACGCCGCAUAAACCGCGGCCUCAAGACAUCCUGGAGCUAGAGGAUGUAGUGUACGCUCUUGGGCACCAACAGUUGGGAUUAUCUCGACACAAACCUUUGUCAGAGUUGUUACUCUUCACACCCUCCCAUUAUUCCCGGCCAGUUUGCGACAAGUUAGGAGCAUGCUACCCAAAUCUUCUACUUCCACGUCGGCCGACCACUGACUGUCUCGUACCUACCUACUCUCUCCAUGUCGCUCGUGGCGACCAUACAUGCAGCUACCUAGCCACCUUGGUGAAAUCGAGAUUAUCCUGGACGUAACACAGCAUAGGCUCAAAUUCGUCCGUCCCAGUUGAGCCGCUAAGCCGCCGAGCCGAGCCGUUGUGUCACCACUCCUCACCGUUCGGUUCUGUGGUUGAUGCUAGGUAUAUAAUCCCCGUCGGGUAACUGAAGAAUGGAGAUGGACUUCAGCGGAACGGUACAUAUACGGGCCGGGCAAGGACUGAUACACAUAUGACUAGGCAUAGAUGCGAGGUCCACGUUCGUUCUCGACUAUUGAGUCCAGGAGCAAGCACACCAGAUAACUGGCUGACUGUACGGCGUACCUACGUAGGUAUGUAUAUACGUACAUCUCAUGUCGCCUCAUACCUCUCUAUAUUAGACGGCUGUUGUACAGGCGGCAGAGUCGCCACAUUGAGCGACGUUCAGAUCGGAUCGGCCCUGCCACCUUGACUUUGCAAGGCAAUGGAAGGCAAGCAGCAAGGAGGAACACAAUAUUGCGACUCUCGCUUGUCUUUGGCGAGGUUC